ACACCUCUAUCCGAGGACAAUAUAUUAAAUGGAUUUUUGGAGCUGGGAGUUGGAACAGGAGCUUGCUCCGUCCACUCCACGCAUCGACCUGGUAUUGCAGUACCUCCAGGAACGGUGCACCCCUU
ensembl:snRNA U2 U2 spliceosomal RNA